rnacentral:rRNA from 1 species
AAAUUGAAGAGUUUGAUCAUGGCUCAGAUUGAACGCUGGCGGCAGGCCUAACACAUGCAAGUCGAGCGGUAGCACAGAGAGCUUGCUCUCGGGUGACGAGCGGCGGACGGGUGAGUAAUGUCUGGGAAACUGCCUGAUGGAGGGGGAUAACUACUGGAAACGGUAGCUAAUACCGCAUAAUGUCGCAAGACCAAAGUGGGGGACCUUCGGGCCUCAUGCCAUCAGAUGUGCCCAGAUGGGAUUAGCUAGUAGGUGGGGUAACGGCUCACCUAGGCGACGAUCCCUAGCUGGUCUGAGAGGAUGACCAGCCACACUGGAACUGAGACACGGUCCAGACUCCUACGGGAGGCAGCAGUGGGGAAUAUUGCACAAUGGGCGCAAGCCUGAUGCAGCCAUGCCGCGUGUGUGAAGAAGGCCUUCGGGUUGUAAAGCACUUUCAGCGGGGAGGAAGGCGUUAAGGUUAAUAACCUUAGUCGAUUGACGUUACCCGCAGAAGAAGCACCGGCUAACUCCGUGCCAGCAGCCGCGGUAAUACGGAGGGUGCAAGCGUUAAUCGGAAUUACUGGGCGUAAAGCGCACGCAGGCGGUCUGUCAAGUCGGAUGUGAAAUCCCCGGGCUUAACCUGGGAACUGCAUUCGAAACUGGCAGGCUAGAGUCUUGUAGAGGGGGGUAGAAUUCCAGGUGUAGCGGUGAAAUGCGUAGAGAUCUGGAGGAAUACCGGUGGCGAAGGCGGCCCCCUGGACAAAGACUGACGCUCAGGUGCGAAAGCGUGGGGAGCAAACAGGAUUAGAUACCCUGGUAGUCCACGCCGUAAACGAUGUCGAUUUGGAGGUUGUGCCCUUGAGGCGUGGCUUCCGGAGCUAACGCGUUAAAUCGACCGCCUGGGGAGUACGGCCGCAAGGUUAAAACUCAAAUGAAUUGACGGGGGCCCGCACAAGCGGUGGAGCAUGUGGUUUAAUUCGAUGCAACGCGAAGAACCUUACCUGGUCUUGACAUCCACAGAACUUUCCAGAGAUGGAUUGGUGCCUUCGGGAACUGUGAGACAGGUGCUGCAUGGCUGUCGUCAGCUCGUGUUGUGAAAUGUUGGGUUAAGUCCCGCAACGAGCGCAACCCUUAUCCUUUGUUGCCAGCGGUCCGGCCGGGAACUCAAAGGAGACUGCCAGUGAUAAACUGGAGGAAGGUGGGGAUGACGUCAAGUCAUCAUGGCCCUUACGACCAGGGCUACACACGUGCUACAAUGGCAUAUACAAAGAGAAGCGACCUCGCGAGAGCAAGCGGACCUCAUAAAGUAUGUCGUAGUCCGGAUUGGAGUCUGCAACUCGACUCCAUGAAGUCGGAAUCGCUAGUAAUCGUAGAUCAGAAUGCUACGGUGAAUACGUUCCCGGGCCUUGUACACACCGCCCGUCACACCAUGGGAGUGGGUUGCAAAAGAAGUAGGUAGCUUAACCUUCGGGAGGGCGCUUACCACUUUGUGAUUCAUGACUGGGGUGAAGUCGUAACAAGGUAACCGUAGGGGAACCUGCGGUUGGAUCACCUCCUUA